rnacentral:rRNA from 1 species
CCUACGGGAGGCAGCAGUGGGGAAUAUUGCACAAUGGGGGAAACCCUGAUGCAGCGACGCCGCGUGAGUGAGGAAGUAUUUCGGUAUGUAAAGCUCUAUCAGCAGGGAAGAAAAUGACGGUACCUGACUAAGAAGCCCCGGCUAACUACGUGCCAGCAGCCGCGGUAAUACGUAGGGGGCAAGCGUUAUCCGGAUUUACUGGGUGUAAAGGGAGCGUAGACGGCUAAUCAAGUCAGAAGUGAAAACGCAGGGCUCAACCUUGGGACUGCUUUUGAAACUGAGUAGCUAGAGUGCAGGAGAGGUAAGCGGAAUUCUUAGUGUAGCGGUGAAAUGCGUAGAUAUUAGGAGGAACACCGGUGGCGAAGGCGGCUUACUGGACUGUAACUGACGUUGAGGCUCGAAAGCGUGGGGAGCAAACAGGAUUAGAUACCCGAGUAGUC